UCCCUGAUGGUUAAAUGGUUAAGACUCCUCGCUUCCACUGCAGGGGGCUCGGGUUCAAUCCCUGGUCAGGGAA
rnacentral:tRNA from 1 species